rnacentral:rRNA from 1 species
AUACGGAGGGUGCAAGCGUUGUUCGGAAUUACUGGGCGUAAAGCGCACGUAGGCGGAUUAAAAAGUUAGAGGUGAAAUCCCAGGGCUUAACCCUGGAACUGCCUUUAAAACUAGUAGUCUAGAGUUCGAGAGAGGUGAGUGGAAUUCCAAGUGUAGAGGUGAAAUUCGUAGAUAUUUGGAGGAACACCAGUGGCGAAGGCGGCUCACUGGCUCGAUACUGACACUGAGGUGCGAAAGCGUGGGGAGCAAACAGGAUUAGAAACCCCGGUAGUCC